rnacentral:rRNA from 1 species
AAUCCUGACACAGGGAGGUAGUGACAAGAAAUAACAAUACAGGGCUACUUCUAGUCUUGUAAUUGGAAUGAGUACAACUUACAUCUCUUCACGAGGAUCAAUUGGAGGGCAAGUCUGGUGCCAGCAGCCGCGGUAAUUCCAGCUCCAAUAGCGUAUAUUAAAGUUGUUGCAGUUAAAAAGCUCGUAGUCGGAUUUCGGGGCGGGCCGAGCGGUCUGCCGAUGGGUAUGCACUGUUCGGCGCGUCCUUCUUUCCGGAGACUAGUUCUACUCUUAACUGAGCGGGACUGGGAGACGGAUCGUUUACUUUGAAAAAAUCAGAGUGUUUCAAGCAGGCAGCUCGCUCUUGCAUGGAUUAGCAUGGGAUAAUGAAAUAGGACUCUGGUGCUAUUUUGUUGGUUUCGAACACCGGAGUAAUGAUUAACAGGGACAGUC